GUUCCAUUUAUAUGAAGGUAUUUUUGGUGCAAAACAACUGAGCAUCUGUGACAGCGGAAUUUGUACUAGUAGAGAAUAGCCACACGUGUAUCAGUAAAUUUGAAUUGAAGCUCACAGAUCA